GUUCAGGGCUGGAGAGCAAAGCUGUGGAACGAGGGAGGUGAAGAAAAGAUGGCAGCGCCUGAAUUUUCUGCUCCAGAAAUGGCCUUGAUAGGAAAAACAUCUGAUUUGGCUCCGUUCUGUAUCCUUGAUUAACUGAAGUGGCCUCUCAAGUCUCCACCGUGGAAGAGAAAAAAGCAAAACUUAUUCUCUCCUAAUGAAAUGCAAUAAAUGCUUUCUACACACAC